rnacentral:rRNA from 1 species
UACGUAGGGGGCUAGCGUUGUCCGGAUUUAUUGGGCGUAAAGAGCGUGUAGGCGGCCGGGUAAGUCCGGUGUGAAAACUGGAGGCUUAACCUCCAGACGUCGACGGAAACCGUGUGGCUAGAGUCCGGAAGAGGAGAGUGGAAUUCCUGGUGUAGCGGUGAAAUGCGCAGAUAUCAGGAAGAACACCAAUGGCGAAGGCAGCUCUCUGGGACGGUACUGACGCUGAGACGCGAAAGCGUGGGGAGCGAACAGG